rnacentral:rRNA from 1 species
GUGGAUUAGAUACCCUGGUAGUCCUGGCAGUAAACGGUGCACGUUUGGUGUGCGGGGAAUCGACCCCCUGCGUGCCGGAGUUAACACGUUAAACGUGCCGCCUGGGGAGUACGGUCGCAAGAUUAAAACUCAAAGAAAUUGACGGGGACCCGCACAAGCGGUGGAGUAUGUGGCUUAAUUCGAUGCAACGCGAAGAACCUUACCAAGGCUUGACAUCCCGUGACCGUCUGUGAAAGCAGAUUUUCUAUUCGUAGACACGGAGACAGGUGCUGCACGGUUGUCGCCAGCU